CUCACGUUUUGGGGAAGGUUGGAUGGGGGAAGGAGGCAAAGAAAUGGUGUAAACACUAAAGACUUUGAGAUGUUUCCUGCACAUUCUAAAUCAGCCAGGUCUCCUGAAGCCUGUGUGCUCUGCAUUUCUAAGACGGUACUGCACAACCCAGAAUCCAGUCUAGAGGAAGAGCCAGUGACAGUGAGCCUUGGUCCCUGGGGAAGGCAACAGAAAUUAAGAAAACUCUUCAAAAUAGAGAAGCAGCAGAUAGAUCUUCCUCCGCUAAUGAGACCAAAAUGGAAAACUAUAAGUAGACAAGUACUUAAUGACACCAAUCAGUGGUCCAAGGGCAAGGAGUAAUAAAAUUUAGGUACAGAUUUAAAUUCAGAAUAAAAUCAAAUUCAUUUUGAGAAACAAGCUUGAAGGGAAACUUCCUUGAAUUAAGUGAUCUGAAAUUUUAAGUUCUCCUUAUUUUGGUUUCCCACUGGGAUUAGAAGCAGACUAUUAGGAGGAAAUAAUAUCUUUCAAAAAUGUUCCUUUUCCUCUUUUUAGUCUUGCAUAUAAAAAUCUGUAUAAUUUGAUCUUAAAAAUAUUCAAAUAUCAUAAAAGUAAUUGUAUUUUUCUUGCCUUGAUCAAAAAUGGGUAUUCUUAGCUACAAAGUUU